rnacentral:rRNA from 1 species
UACGAAGGGGGCUAGCGUUGCUCGGAAUCACUGGGCGUAAAGGGCGCGUAGGCGGCCGUUCAAGUCGGGGGUGAAAGCCUGUGGCUCAACCACAGAAUGGCCUUCGAUACUGGACGGCUCGAGACCGGAAGAGGUCAGUGGAACUGCGAGUGUAGAGGUGAAAUUCGUAGAUAUUCGCAAGAACACCAGUGGCGAAGGCGGCUGACUGGUCCGGUUCUGACGCUGAGGCGCGAAAGCGUGGGGAGCAAACAGG